rnacentral:rRNA from 1 species
CUACCAUGGCGUUUACGGGUAACGGAGGAUUAGGGUUCGAUUCCGGAGAGGGAGCCUGAGAAACGGCUACCACAUCUAAGGAAGGCAGCAGGCGCGUAAAUUACCCAAUCCUGACUCAGGGAGGUAGUGACAAGAAAUAACGGACCGAGGCUCAACGGCUUCGGGAUUGCAAUGAGCCGAAUUUACACCCCUUAGCGAGAAUCGAUUGGAGGGCAAGUCUGGUGCCAGCAGCCGCGGUAAUUCCAGCUCCAAUAGCGUAUAUUAAAGUUGUUGCAGUUAAAGAGCUCGUAGUUGGAUUUCUGGGAGGGUGCCAAUGUCCGCCAACGCGCGUGUGCAGCGGCGCCCUUCCAUCCUUCUGUUAACGCCUCUUGGCAUUCACUUGCUGGUGGCGGGCUCAGAUAUUUUACCUUGAGAAAAUUAGAGUGUUUCAGGCAGGCUAGGCCGGAAUAUAUUAGCAUGGAAUAAUGGAAUAGGACUAUGGUCUCUUUGUUGGUUUGAGGGACUGCAGUAAUGAUUAAUAGGGAUAGUUGGGGGCAUUAGUAUUUAAUUGUCAGAGGUGGAAUUCUCAGAUUUGUUAAAGACUAACUUAUGCGAAAGCAUUUGCCAAGGAUGUUUUCAUUAAUCAA